rnacentral:rRNA from 1 species
UACAGAGGGUGCGAGCGUUAAUCGGAAUUACUGGGCGUAAAGCGCACGUAGGCGGCUUUGCAAGUCGGGUGUGAAAUCCCUGGGCUCAACCUGGGAACCGCGCUUGAGACUGGAGAACUAGAGUUCGGGAGAGGAUGGUGGAAUUCCCAGUGUAGAGGUGAAAUUCGUAGAUAUUGGGAAGAACACCGAUGGCGAAGGCAGCCAUCUGGACCGACACUGACGCUGAGGUGCGAAAGCGUGGGGAGCAAACAGG